rnacentral:rRNA from 1 species
GAACCYCGKGAUCCYSRAAGAUUCGGGAGUGCUCGAAAGAGAACCGGCGCACAGGUGCUGCAUGGCUGUCGUCAGGGAGGGGCGUGAGAUGUUGGGUUAAGUCCCGCAACGAGCGCAACAGAGUCAAAUAGKUGCUACGCAAGAGCACUCUAAGGAGACUGCCGGUGACAAACCGGAGGAAGGWGGGGAUGACGUCAAGUCUCCAUGGMCCUUAUGGGUAGGGCUUCMCACGUCAUACAAUGGWCGGAACAGAGGGUUGCCAACCCGCWAGGGGGAGCUMAUCCCAGAAAACCSACCGUMGUCCGGAUCGCACUCUGC